AGAGUUUGAUCCUGGCUCAGGAUGAACGCUGGCGGCGUGCUUAACACAUGCAAGUCGAACGAACCUUCGGGUUAGUGGCGGACGGGUGAGUAACGCGUGGGAAUCUGCCCUCAGGAGGGGGAUAACGGCUGGAAACGGCCGCUAAUACCCCAUAUGCCGAGAGGUGAAAUGAAUUUCGCCUGAGGAUGAGCCCGCGUCUGAUUAGCUAGUUGGUGAGGUAAUGGCUCACCAAGGCUUCGAUCAGUAGCUGGUCUGAGAGGAUGAUCAGCCACACUGGGACUGAGACACGGCCCAGACUCCUACGGGAGGCAGCAGUGGGGAAUUUUCCGCAAUGGGCGAAAGCCUGACGGAGCAACGCCGCGUGAGGGAUGAAGGCCUCUGGGCUGUAAACCUCUUUUCUCAAGGAAGAAGAUAUGACGGUACUUGAGGAAUAAGCCACGGCUAAUUCCGUGCCAGCAGCCGCGGUAAUACGGGAGUGGCAAGCGUUAUCCGGAAUUAUUGGGCGUAAAGCGUCCGCAGGCGGCCUUUCAAGUCUGCUGUUAAAGCGUGGAGCUUAACUCCAUCAUGGCAGUGGAAACUGUUGGGCUUGAGUGUGGUAGGGGCAGAGGGAAUUCCCGGUGUAGCGGUGAAAUGCGUAGAUAUCGGGAAGAACACCAGUGGCGAAGGCGCUCUGCUGGGCCAUAACUGACGCUCAUGGACGAAAGCCAGGGGAGCGAAAGGGAUUAGAUACCCCUGUAGUCCUGGCCGUAAACGAUGAACACUAGGUGUCGGGGGAAUCGACCCCCUCGGUGUCGUAGCCAACGCGUUAAGUGUUCCGCCUGGGGAGUACGCACGCAAGUGUGAAACUCAAAGGAAUUGACGGGGGCCCGCACAAGCGGUGGAGUAUGUGGUUUAAUUCGAUGCAACGCGAAGAACCUUACCAGGGUUUGACAUCCUGCGAACCUCUAAGAAAUUAGAGGGUGCCUUCGGGAACGCAGUGACAGGUGGUGCAUGGCUGUCGUCAGCUCGUGUCGUGAGAUGUUGGGUUAAGUCCCGCAACGAGCGCAACCCACGUUUUUAGUUGCCAGCAUUCAGUUGGGCACUCUAGAGAGACCGCCGGUGAUAAACCGGAGGAAGGUGUGGAUGACGUCAAGUCAUCAUGCCCCUUACAUCCUGGGCUACACACGUACUACAAUGCUACGGACAAAGGGCAGCAAACUCGCGAGGGCAAGCAAAUCCCAUAAACCGUGGCUCAGUUCAGAUCGUAGGCUGCAACUCGCCUACGUGAAGGAGGAAUCGCUAGUAAUCGCAGGUCAGCAUACUGCGGUGAAUACGUUCCCGGGCCUUGUACACACCGCCCGUCACACCAUGGAAGUUGGCCACGCCCGAAGUCGUUACUCCAACCCUUGUGGAGGAGGACGCCGAAGGUGGGGCUGAUGACUGGGGUGAAGUCGUAACAAGGUAGCCGUACCGGAAGGUGCGGCUG
rnacentral:rRNA from 1 species